UACGUAGGUGGCGAGCGUUGUCCGGAUUUACUGGGCGUAAAGCGCGCGCAGGCGGCAGUCUAAGUCCUCUGUGAAAUCACCCGGCUUAACUGGGUGGCUGCGGAGGAGACUGGGCAGCUUGAGGGGCCUAGAGGCCGGUGGAACUCCCGGUGUAGUGGUGAAAUGCGUAGAGAUCGGGAAGAACACCAGUGGCGAAGGCGGCCGGCUGGGGGCGCCCUGACGCUGAGGCGCGAGAGCGUGGGGAGCAAACCGG
rnacentral:rRNA from 1 species